rnacentral:rRNA from 1 species
GAUGAACGCUGGCGGCGUGCCUAAUACAUGCAAGUCGAGCGAACGGACGAGAAGCUUGCUUCUCUGAUGUUAGCGGCGGACGGGUGAGUAACACGUGGAUCACCUACCUAUAAGACUGGGAUAACUUCGGGAAACCGGAGCUAAUACCGGAUAAUAUUUUGCACCGCAUUGUUCAAAAGUGAAAGACGGUCUUUCUGUCACUUCUAGCUGCAUCCGCGCUGCUUUAGCUAGUUGGUAAGGUAACGGCUUACCAAGGCUACGAUGCAUAGACGACCUGCGAGAGGGAUCGGCCACACUGGAACGGAAACACGGUCAAGACGACUAAGGGAGGCAGCAGUAGGGAAUGGGACGCAAUGGGCGGAAGCAUGACGGAGCAGGGCCGCGUGAGAGAUGAAGGUCUUGGGUUCGUAAAAAUGUGUUACUAGGGGAGAACAGAUGUGGAAGGAAAUGUGCACAGAGUGACGGUAACGAAUCAGAAAGCAACGGCUAACUACGUG